rnacentral:rRNA from 1 species
UAGGGAAUCUUCCACAAUGGACGCAAGUCUGAUGGAGCAACGCCGCGUGAGUGAAGAAGGUUUUCGGACCGUAAAGCUCUGUUGUUGGUGAAGAAGGAUAGAGGUAGUAACUGGCCUUUAUUUGACGGUAAUCAACCAGAAAGUCACGGCUAACUACGUGCCAGCAGCCGCGGUAAUACGUAGGUGGCAAGCGUUGUCCGGAUUUAUUGGGCGUAAAGCGAGCGCAGGCGGAAGAAUAAGUCUGAUGUGAAAGCCCUCGGCUUAACCGAGGAAUUGCAUCGGAAACUGUUUUCUUGAGUGCAGAAGAGGAGAGUAGAACUCCAUGUGUAGCGGUGGAAUGCGUAGAUAUAUGGAAGAAUACCAGUGGCGAAGGCGGCUCUCUGGUCUGCAACUGACGCUGAGGCUCGAAAGCAUGGGUAGCGAACAGGGUUAGAUACCCUGGUAGUCCAUGCCGUAAACGAUGAGUGCUAAGUGUUGGGAGGCUUCCGCCUCUCAGUGCUGCAGCUAACGCAUUAAGCACUCCGCCUGGGGGAGU